UCCCGACCUGCACCGCGGCAAAAAUAAGCGUUGACCGUUAAAAAAAAUGACAAAAAAAAUAAUUAAAAAUUCCUAAAGCGAAUAUAUGCAUUAAAAAUGGCUGGUUUCGUAAAGACUAUUAAAAACUAAAGUUAGCGAGGUGUCGAAAUUUAAAAAAUUGUAGAGGAUUUUUUUUAUUUAUUUUUUUCCCCCUCUGUGCUUCGUGUCAUCACGGUGUAGAGGCGCUGCAGUGAACAGCCGUGGCGCCAUUUUCAAAGUUCAGAGCUCGAGUGAAUGGAACCUCUUGUUAUAGACAAAACUCUUAUUUCGCUCUGUUACUCAUUUUUAAUUUUCUAAUCCGUCGUCGUUUUACACCCUGAAGCGAACAUACGGACUCCGAGGACGAGGUUUUUUUUUAUUUUAAAAAAGGAAAAAAGGUGCAGAAUUGAAUUCAGAGGACGAUUGGUGUUCAGUGAGUUCCUUUUGGGAUUAUCAGCCACCUUCACCUCUCCUCUGUUGCUUAAGAGGGUAAAGAAAAAAGGCUGGGGCUGGCAAGAGUAGACAAAAAUGAACGCGUUCUUCAGCUGUGCUGACGUGAUCAUUUGAUUGAGACUGCAAAUAGGCUGCUCUUUUAUCUGAUAUAACUUCAAUCUACAAUCUUCUAGUAAUACUGUAAUGUUGUGUAGUUAGUUAACCUUGCAGAAGGUUAUUAAUUUUUUAAUAUUACUUUUUCAGUUAACCCUGAAACCAAUAUAUAUAUAUUUUUUUUAUAUAAAAACAAUCCAUUUAAGGUUUGAUUACACUACAUGGUGGUAUAUUUCUUAAGAUUUAUAAAUUACACUACAUUAUCUGCAGUGUAAGUGUACUUUAAAUAAAUACAAAUAUUUUGCUGUAAGACUUAUAAUUUCCCCCAUUAAUUGAACUACUGCAGAGUUUUGAUGUGGUGUGUUUCCUAAUUCUUUGUGCUAGAGCCACCAUGUAAUGAUAAAAAAAAAGUAUUUCAUAAAAGCAUCCAAAUUUUUCGUCAUUGCAGUAAUUAGUUUUGAUUAUCUAGUUACUCAAACAUGUAUUAUUCAGAAGAUGAAUGUGUAUUUGGUUUGUCUCUGUUCAUUCACUGUCAAGGUCACACCUUCAUGAUUUUCAAUGUUCUUUUUUUCUUCUUUUUUUUUCUACCUCACCUUCUGCAGUACCUUCAAAAUUUGAAAAACCUUAGCAGUUAAUUUGAAUCAUUUACUACAAAUCACUAUGUCCUGUUAAAUAUUCCUUUUUAUUUUUUAGUUUGGAUUUAAAGUUUAGAAUUUUUCCAUUUUGUGUAGUGUUUUUUUUUAUUUCACUAUAAUUUUUAGUUUUGAUCUUUCUUUUUAAAGCAUUAUUAAAAUUGUGCAUUUACUCUA